AACCUCCGCAAUGUGAGAAAUCGCGACGGGGGGAUCCCAAGUGCCAUUCUUAACGGGAUGGCUUUUCAUUAGUGUAAAAAGCUUUUGGAAUAAGAGCUGGGCAAGACCGGUGCCAGCCGCCGCGGUAACACCGGCAGCUCUAGUGGUAGCAAUUUUUAUUGGGCCUAAAGCGUUCGUAGCCGGUUUAAUAAGUCUCUGGUGAAAUCCUGUAGCUUAACUGUGGGAAUUGCUGGAGAUACUAUUAGACUUGAGACCGGGAGAGGUUAGAGGUACUCCCGGGGUAGAGGUGAAAUUCUGUAAUCCUGGGAGGACCGCCUGUUGCGAAGGCGUCUAACUGGAACGGUUCUGACGGUGAGGGACGAAAGUUAGGGGCGCGAACCGGAUUAGAUACCCGGGUAGUCCUAACUGUAAACGAUGCGGACUUGGUGUUGGGGUGGCUUUGAGCUGCUCCAGUGCCGAAGGGAAGCUGUUAAGUCCGCCGCCUGGGAAGUACGGUCGCAAGACUGAAACUUAAAGGAAUU
rnacentral:rRNA from 1 species